AUAAGAGGUUGGAAGGAUAAAUUGUUAUCCUAUGGAGGUAGGGAAGUGCUACUUAAGGCUGUCAUACAAGCUAUUCCUUCUUACGACAUGUUAGUUUUUAAACUACCCAAACAGGUUUGCAAUAGUAUCACCACAGCUAUGUCUAAAUAUUGGUGGGGAGAUGAUGAUCUGCAAAAACACAUGCACUGGUUUGCUUGGUGGAAAAUGUGUGUCCCAAAGGAAAAGGGUGCAAUGGGUUUUAGAGACUUGCAUUGUUUUAAUUUGGCUCUUCUCGCAAAUCAGUGUUGGAGGUUGUUGUGUGAACCAAAUUCUUUAUGUGCUAGAGUUUUGAGAGCCAAAUAUUUUCCUGAUGGAGAC
rnacentral:rRNA from 1 species